AAGAUAUAUAUUCUACAACUUCAAUAGCAAAAUACAUGCUAAUGCAUAAGUACAUCUAACUUGACUCUUUCAAUUUUCUACUAUAUUAAUUAUUGCAUGAAAGACUUUGAGCCUCACAUAUAGCUAGAGUUUGAAGGCUUCAAACACUAUUUUUCUAUAAUACAAAAAAAUAAGUUUCUCGAAGCUCAUCCUUUUUCAUGGGCCUAUACUCUAAGAAGAGAGAAGUACGAGCCAAUGACUUGCCACAC
rnacentral:lncRNA from 1 species